GGCAGGGGUUAGGGUGUGCAUCUUGUCUGCAUCUGUAUAUGAAGCUGUGGCAUUUUUCAAGAAAGCGUCAGGGACAUAAGUUUCCCCACAGCUGACGGGAGGUACGACAAGGUCACGGGAGAUGCGGCGUAAACCAUCUGGGCCUCUGCAUCUCAAUAUGCAGGGCUGAAUGUCAGAUGAGUCUCAUCCCCUAAAGCAUUAGUGCAGGUUUGUGUCAUUGUCUUCCCUGGAAUGUUUUGGAGAAGAGGAUGUGUAUUAUUUGUGCUCCUAACAGUCUGCAGCCAGGGGUCAUCUUUUAUCGCAGUCCCGGGCACGCAAGCUUUUUCUGUUAUUCCAGUUUUGCCUUUUUCCUGAAGUGUCCACUGAGGUUUCCUCUAGUGUCAGUCAUGGCAGUUACGUUCUCUUGUUCUUGUUUACCUAUUGUUUUUGGCACCAGUUUCUGUAGUUGUAAGGUGUCCAUUUUAGAUCUUUGAGUCACCAUGUCACGCCAUUGUGGUUUUUCCAUUGGCCAACUGCCACUGUAAUUCCCUUAGGGGCUUUGUAGAUGCAGCGGGACGAGCUGUGUGCCAAAGGGCAACAGAGGAGACGUGAGCGGAGCGCUGUAAG